rnacentral:rRNA from 1 species
GAUGAACGCUGGCGGCGUGCCUAAUACAUGCAAGUCAAGCGAACAGACGAGGAGCUUGCUCCUCUGACGUUAGCGGCGGACGGGGGAGUAAAACGUGGAUAACCUACCUAUAAGACUGGGAUAACUUCGGGAAACCGGAGCUAAUACCGGAUAAUAUAUUGAACCGCAUGGUUAAUUAGUGAAAGACGGUUUUGCUGUCACUUAUAGAUGGAUCCGCGCCGCAUUAGCUAGUUGGUAAGGUAACGGCUUACCAAGGCAACGAUGCGUAGCCGACCUAAGAGGGUGAUCGGCCACACUGGAACUGAGACACGGUCCAGACUCCUACGGGAGGCAGCAGUAGGGAAUCUUCCGCAAUGGGCGAAAGCCUGACGGAGCAACGCCGCGUGAGUGAUGAAGGUCUUCGGAUCGUAAAACUCUGUUAUUAGGGAAGAACAAAUGUGUAAGUAACUAUGCACGUCUUGACGGUACCUAAUCAGAAAGCCACGGCUAACUACGUG